rnacentral:ncRNA from 2 species
UGAGUCUUUCAGGGACAUGUUUAAUUCAGUACCGGUAGUAAAAGUCUACGAGCAAAAAGCUGAUUCUGUGUAAUUCAGAAACCGACGGUAAAGUCCGGAUGAGAAAAAGAAAGA